AUAGCCCAUUCUCUGCUCAUUUCGUUUUAUUGUUCUCAUGUGCUCUUUGCAAGCCUCUUAAUCAUUUCCAUGGCAAUGAACUUCAAUUCUUCCUUUCUUCUUAACUCUAACCCAUUCCGGUUUAAUCCUAGUUAUCAUGGUAAUGAUGUUGACAACAACAUGAAUCGAUUCUUCAACUUAGGCAGCCAGGGUAACCUUGUGAGAUCCAACACUGAUUACCAUGUUAAUCAGGAGAAUAACUU
rnacentral:lncRNA from 1 species